UGGGGGAUAUUGCACAAUGGGCGAAAGCCUGAUGCAGCGACGCCGCGUGGGGGAUGAAGGCCUUCGGGUUGUAAACUUCUUUUGCUCUGAACAAGGCGCACCACGGGGUGUGUUGAGUGUAGGGGUUGAUUAGCGCCGGCUAACUACGUGCCAGCAGCCGCGGUAAUACGUAGGGGGCGAGCGUUGUCCGGAAUUAUUGGGCGUAAAGGGCUUGUAGGUGGCUGGUUGCGUCUGUCGUGAAAGCUCAUGGCUUAACUGUGGGUUUGCGGUGGGUACGGGCUGGCUUGAGUGCAGUAGGGGAGGCUGGAAUUCCUGGUGUAGCGGUGGAAUGCGCAGAUAUCAGGAGGAAUACCGGUGGCGAAGGCGGGUCUCUGGGCUGUUACUGACACUGAGGAGCGAAAGCAUGGGGAGCGAAGAGG
rnacentral:rRNA from 1 species